ACAGAGGUCUCAAGCGUUGUUCGGAUUCAUUGGGCGUAAAGGGUGCGUAGGUGGCGAGGUAAGUCGGAUGUGAAAUCUCCAAGCUCAACUUGGAAACUGCAUUCGAUACUGCUUUGCUAGAGGAUUGUAGAGGGCAUUGGAAUUCACGGUGUAGCAGUGAAAUGCGUAGAUAUCGUGAGGAAGACCAGUGGCGAAGGCGAAUGCCUGGGCAAUUCCUGACACUGAGGCACGAAGGCCAGGGGAGCAAACGGG
rnacentral:rRNA from 1 species